CAAUAGCGUAUAUUAAAGUUGUUGCGGUUAAAAAGCUCGUAGUUGGAGUUCUGCCAGGUGCCGCCUGUCCGCCCCAGUGGUGAGUACGUGGCGCGCAUUUGGCCCUUUCAAGGGGAGCGUAUCUGCACUUUAUUGUGUGGUGCGGGAUCCUUGACUUUUACUUUGAGGAAAUAGGAGUGUUCCAAGCAGGCUCUCGUCGUGCACAGCUCAGCAUGGAAUAAUAGCAUUGGACCUCGAUUCUAAGCUGUUGGUUGCCAGAAGCGAGGUAAUGAUGAAGAGGGAUAGUUGGGGGCAUUCGUAUUUAACUGUCAGAGGUGAAAUUCUUGGAUUUGUUAAAGGCGGACUACUGCGAAAGCAUCUGCCAUGGAUGUUUUCAUUGA
rnacentral:rRNA from 1 species